AUGGCUCAAUGGUAGAGCAAAUGCCUAGCAAAUAUAAGGCCCUGAGUUCAAAUCCCAGU
rnacentral:tRNA from 1 species